rnacentral:rRNA from 1 species
GACGAAUGCUGGCUGCGUGCUUAACACAUGCAAGUCGAACGGUGAACAGGGGCUUGCCCCUGGGAUCAGUGGCGAACGGGUGAGUAACACGUGGGCAACCUACCCCUCACUCUGGGAUAACUCCGGGAAACCGGGGCUAAUACCGGAUACGACCUGGUGCGACAUCGUACCGGGUGGAAAGAACUUCGGUGAGGGAUGGGCCCGCGGCCUAUCAGCUUGUUGGUGGGGUAACGGCCCACCAAGGCGACGACGGGUAGCCGGCCUGAGAGGGCGACCGGCCACACUGGGACUGAGACACGGCCCAGACUCCUACGGGAGGCAGCAGUGGGGAAUAUUGCGCAAUGGGCGAAAGCCUGACGCAGCGACGCAGCGUGAGGGACGAAGGCCUUCGGGUUGUAAACCUCUUUCAGCGGGGACGAAGCGCAAGUGACGGUACCCGCAGAAGAAGCACCGGCUAACUACGUGCCAGCCGCCGCGGUAA